GCAGCUGGUCUGGGGAGCUGACUUUGAGAACCGGGUUAGAGGAGCUUCAGGCCCCUGUGGUGAAGCAUGCUGCUCAUGAGAGAAAGUGGCAUUGGAGAACCUUGUCCCCUACCACAGGCACCUGGCCAAGCAGGAGGUAGUGACAGCAGUGGAGGCAAGAGCCGUGGACAAACACUAUUUCUAAGGCAGAGCCCACAGGACCUGCUGUCAGUGGAUGUGGAGGGGGUGAUGGAAAAGUUAAAUCGAGGGCGACCCUUGCACGCUGGGCUGGACAUUUGGCCCCCUUAGGUUUGAGAUGCCUGGUGGAAAACCCAAGUGGAAACGUCAAGGGGGCCAUCGGAGACCCGGGGGAGUUAUCGCCCUUUUAAUGGCUUCUGCGCCGGCCACGGUCACGCUUCGUCUUCACACCGUCGCGGCGGGGGCGGCCUCAUUCUCACCCCGCCUGCGGAGGAGGAAGCCGCCGAGGACGGGGCGAGGACCACCCUGGGUCCACGGGGCGUGUGUGGGCCGCCACUGGGCUGGAACCGUCUGGAUACGGAGCAUCAACCCUCUCUCCGGUUUCUUCCCUCUCCUCCUUCAUCCCGUUUCUGAGAUGGGGAAACUGAGGCCAGAUACCGUGUGCCACCUUCACACAGGCAGAGCAGGGGACCCCGGCCGCGCUCCCCUCAGACCCGGCGGCCCGCUCUCGUCCGGAUCCCGCCCCAACCUGGGACCCUAACAGUUCUCGUUGGGUUCGGAAGGCGGUGCAACGCGACCCGGGGUCCAGGAGACGCACCACGCUACCCUGAUUGGCGGACACCCCUGGCCCGCCCCUCCUCCUCGCCCGCCCGCCGCCGCUCCUGCGGGUCCGGAGGCCCCAUUUCCCCAGCGCCGCCAGCGCCCAGCCUCCUCCGGUCUCCACGGCGACGCCGCGCUGGCUCCUCCUUCUCCCGGCCUAGGCCCACCGCCUCCCUGUCAGCAGUCUGCGCAUGCUCGGAGCCCGCGCGCGGGCCAAUCGGAAGCCCCCC
rnacentral:lncRNA from 1 species